rnacentral:rRNA from 1 species
AGAAUCAACGCUGGCGGCGUGCCUAACACAUGCAAGUCGAACGAGAAAGUGGAGCAAUCCAUGAGUAAAGUGGCGCACGGGUGAGUAACACGUGACUAACCUACCCUUGAGUGGGGGAUAACCUAGGGAAACCUGGGCUAAUACCGCAUAAUACCUUCGGGUCAAAGGAGCAAUUCGCUUAAGGAGGGGGUCGCGGCCGAUUAGUUAGUUGGCGGGGUAAUGGCCCACCAAGACGAUGAUCUGUA